rnacentral:rRNA from 1 species
AGCUCCAAUAGCGUAUAUUAAAGUUGUUGUGGUUAAAAAGCUUGUAGUUGGAUCUCAACAGCGUGGUGGCGGUCAACAUGCUUGCCGUUACUGCUGUCUUGCACUGUGCUUUUUGCUGGAGGCUGGCAGGUUGCCUUAAUCAGGUGUCUGUUGUCACCAGCAGGUUUACUUUGAAAAAAUUAGAGUGCUCAAAGCAGGCUGUUACGCCUGAAUAUUUGUGCAUGGAAUAAUAGAAUAGGACAUUGAUCCUAUUUUGUUGGUUUUCGGGACUCGACAUAAUGAUUAAUAGGGACAGUUGGGGGCAUUUGAAUUCAAACAACAGAGGAGAAAUUCUUGGACCAUUUGAAGACAAACUACUGCGAAAGCAUUUGCCAAGAAUGUUUUCA